rnacentral:rRNA from 1 species
CCCUUAGAUGUUAUGGGCCGCACACGCGCUACACUGAAGGAGGCAGCGUGUACUCCUGGAUCGAAAGAUUUGGGUAACCCGCGAAUCUCCUUCGUGCUAGGGAUUGAGGUUUGCAAUUAUCCUUCAUGAACGAGGAAUUCCCAGUAAGUGCAAGUCAUAAGCUUGCGCUGACUACGUCCCUGCCCUUUGUACACACCGCCCGUCGCUACUACCGAUUGAAUGAUUUAGUGAGGACUUCGGACUGGGACCGAUGCGGCUUUCGGGCUGCGUCGGUAUUCUGGAAAGAUGUCCAAACUGUAUCAUUUAGAGGAAGUAAAAGUCGUAACA